GGAAACACAGAGAAAAGUGUGGAAAUAGGUGGCGCUUAUACGUAUAGUAUAGAUAUCAAGAAGCUGCUAUAAAACACUCAUGAGGGUACUCCAAAAACCACUCUCCACAUGCAAAAGACAAACAAAAACCUCAAAUGGGUCAGUGUCACCACCUUCCCACUGUUGGUAAGAGUGUAGCGCUAGAUAAGUAUAUGUUUACAGUGCUCAAAAAUACAGAUAUACACUUACCACUCAGGGUAAUACCAUAAAGUUAGAC